AGGGAGAGAUAUCAUUACAACACAGAGGCUUCCUUUUUUGCUCUGGUACCUUUACAUGUGGUGUCAGGGUUUAAACCUUAGUCAGUGCAAAUGGUAAAGUAGGUAUCCCACCUGAUGAGCUAUUCAUUAGAGAUCUUUUAAUUGAUUUUUUUUUUUUAAAGUACUUGUGGUUAAGCCCUGAUGAAGUUAACAAAUACAGUGGGGAGGGGCUUGAAUAAGUAGAUGUAAUAAAGACUUAUACAUGUCAUAAUGUAGACUAAAUAAACAGAAAGUACAUGGGGGUUAGUUACACAGAGUCGACUUCCCACAAAUCUAAGACCCAGGCAUGUGAGGUCCUGCUCACCCACAGAUUUACAAGAAUUCUAAUUCUAAACACAUUGCCAUUUAUGUAGGUCUAUCUUCUGAGAUUUAGUUCUGAGUUGCCCUGCCAUGAAGAUUCACUACCUUUCUCUAGCUCUACUCUUCUUUGGUCCUUUAUUAACAACUAUAGGAAGUGAAGAUACUCAGUUGAUCACUAGCUACUUGGACUGCACAGAUAAGAACAUAUGCAAUUCUUCAGAUGAAAAUGGGAAUUGCACUCAAUAUAACAAGGUUGGAGUCUGUGUCUUGCAUAUUGGAAAAAUUGCAAGUCAACUGAAAGACAUAAAAACUCAGGAAGGAUGAUAAACAUGCUUGUCUUAUUAAAAAGUAAAAGCUG